rnacentral:lncRNA from 10 species
GGGAGGCGAGGGCCGAGCGGGGCCGCGAAGGAGGCUGUUGGAAUAAUCCCCAUCUCAGGGCAACAUCUUUCCAGCCCUAAUUAGACUCCGGGGCAUUAUCCCUGCAUGCGUUGUCGAUGGCGGCCAGGAAAAGGGCGAGGCCAACUUUAUUUCUGAAUUUGGACUGACUUAAAGAAGUGGCAUCACAUUUGAAGGGCACCCAAUCGCUCCGUUGCCCUCGCUGCAUGAAAUUGUAUCUGCUUGCCACUUCCUAUCUCGCCGGGCGCAGCUGGGCUGUAAGUCAUUGGUGAUAACAUUCUUUAUUAUGCCGUCGUGUUUAUGAACUGUGCCUGGAAAGAGAUGAUAGAAAUAUGCAGCAAUAUGCAAAGGCAUCGGGGAGGAGGGGGAAGGGGGAGCAAAUGUUAGUUGCCAGGGCAACGAUGGGGCUAUUUUGGGCAUCGGAUUUUGCGGAUGAUGAAAACCAUUUUCCUGCAACGGUUGGACUCUCCCCUCCCCCUUCCUGGAGGCGAUAAAUGCACAGUGAAUAUUUAGGAAGGGGAUGGCUUAAUUUCUUAAUUAAAAAUUAUGAUCUUUUCCUCUCUGCCUCCUUUAAAAACGGAUAAAAAAAAUCGAAGGGUGUUGAGAAGCAUUCUUGAGUGGAAGGCGAGCUUUCGUUCUGGUGGAAGGAGAUGUGUGAAUAAUGCACUCACUUUACUGAUGCCUGCCACCUCCCCCAUCAGGCUCAUCCACCGCCUUUCACCUACGCCGACUUAACUCUGAUAAACUCCCCAAGCAAAAUCCCCGAGCCCCAGACCUCAGCCUAAUCUCAAAACCUCCAGGUGUUUAUAAGCAAGCUGAAUUCCAAUGAGUCUCGGGGCAACUUGGCUUCCGACGAGAUGGCUGGAAGAUGGCUCCAUCUCUGGGCACAGAUGUCCCUGAGAAACAAAAGCUCAGGACCAGGGGCUGGGACGAUGCCCUCCUCCUGCCCCUCCAUCUGAGACACAGGCUUCCCGGAGGAGGGAUUCGCCCUCUGCAGGCACUGGGCUGCUUAUGUAAGCCUGGUCAGCUCCACACCCAAAAGGAGGCGAGGCUGGUGCCCGUCUGGAUUUGUGACUGUGUC